AGUGAACGCUGGCGGUAGGCCUAACACAUGCAAGUCGAACGGCAGCACAGUAAGAGCUUGCUCUUACGGGUGGCGAGUGGCGGACGGGUGAGGAAUACAUCGGAAUCUACUUUUUCGUGGGGGAUAACGUAGGGAAACUUACGCUAAUACCGCAUACGACCUACGGGUGAAAGCAGUGGAUCUUCGGACCUUGCGCGAUUGAAUGAGCCGAUGUCGGAUUAGCUAGUGGGCGGGGUAAAGGCCCACCAAGGCGACGAUCCGUAGCUGGUCUGAGAGGCUGGUCAGCCACACUGGAGCUGAGACACGGUCCAGACUCCUACGGGAGGCAGCAGUGGGGAAUAUUGGGCAAUGGGCGCAAGCCUGAUCCAGCCAUACCGCGUGGGUGAAGAAGGCCUUCGGGUUGUAAAGCCCUUUUGUUGGGAAAGAAAAGCAGCAGGUUAAUACCCCGCUGUUCUGACGGUACCCAAAGAAUAAGCACCGGCUAACUUCGUG
rnacentral:rRNA from 1 species